CGGAGGAGGGGAGAGGAGAGGAAAGUGGGAGGAGAGGCUGCACUCUAAACAGCCCUCUUGCCUGAGCAAUCUGACGCAGAGGCACAUGAGGAAUCAGCACGGAACCAUCGACCCACAGGGUUAAUCCCAAUGUCAAUACCUGCUAGAUGUCAGGGAUCCCCUGGGCUGCUGGCGAGCCAUUUGAAAUGACCCAUCUCCUGCCACCUUGGCCUGCUCCUCUGGGCCACCUCUCUCCACCUGCACUUGCUUACCGCUGGAGGGCUGGGGUCUGCCGUCACCUGCCUCUCAAGAAACCUGUGCCUCCAGCAGCCACCGGGAUCCACUGGGACUGUGACCCUCCUGCCAAGAAGACCCAGGAAAAGCCUGCUGGCCACUGUCGAUGAGAGGCAGGCUCCCACCUGCAGGGUGUUCACUUUGUGGCUCCUUCCAAUAAGUCAAGCAAGAUGGAAACAUUCGAGCGAUGCAAGGCAGCGCUACUUGGGGAAAGAGACACUGGUAUGCCACAUCAGCGAGGACCACCAGGAAAGACGAUUCCUUUCCAAAUUCCAAGCCUCAACAAAAGCGACCACAGCAGUCCAGACUCCUGUCUCUAAUCCCUACUUCCCCAUGUGGACAAAGAGUGGGGCUCUUUUGGCCUGAGCUCAUGGGGUUUCACAUCAGCCCAGCAGGACAGAAUGCAUCCCUCCUGACAGCCAGGCACAGGCUGGGGACCAGAGAGACCCAGCUGGCUCCACAGGGCAGGGCUGACACAGAGCCAGGGGAGGGUUGUGGCGGCCCACACUGCAUGUCUCUACAAGGUGAAGGAACUCCUUGUGUUGGCUGCUGAGCUGAGAGGUCACAGCUCUGCCUCACAGCACCCUGGCCAAGUUUUCCAUGAAAUCAUCCAAAGCCAACAGGAGUUCCGGGAACCAUCCAUCUGGAGCUGCAGCUUCCUCCCUGGCUGUGGGGAUCUUCAGAUCCCUUGGGCCUGGGAUAAGUCCACUCUCCACACAUGUAGGGGAAACAUGCCAGAGGGCCAGCCCUUGUUCCCAGACACGGCCCUGGCCCCUAGCAAGCCUGCUCAGACACAGGGGGAUGGUUACAGCAGACCUACCUAGCUGGCUAAUGUCUCCCUAGUAGCCAAUUAAUUGCAGCAUUCACUGAGGGACUAGGCAGUCAUGCAGAGGCCAAGCUCUAAAGGGCACCCACCCCAGCCUGUCCCCCAACAACCCAGACACACAGACCCACAGCUACAUCCCUGUGCAAAUGCCAUAAUCCCAGCUUGGCUGCACGAACAUGCGCACCUCUCCCAUCCAUGGCAGCGGGCCCAAAGGGCAGGCAACAGGCAGAAAGCAGCUGGACACUAGGGGUAAGCUGAGGAAGACCAGCCCUCGGCCCCUUCCUCUCUACACAGAGUGGUGGGGAGACAAGGAGGAGCGAGGGAUACUGACCCGGGCCUGAGGAACACCUGACCCAGCAGCACAGAACAGAGAUGAGAAAUGGGCCCCAUUUCCAUCCCCCAAAUCCUUCAAGAUGACCACUGAAGCUGCAAAAAAUCAAUUUUCUGCAGCUUCUUCGGAAGCCAGGAUUUAUUUUCUGUGUGUGCAGAGCUAUUGGCUCAGCUGUUUCCCAUCAGCUUCCUGCAUGCUUCCAGGCAGAGCACAGCCCACUGCCUCCCUCUCCUUCUUCCUCCCGCAAUGCUCAAACCCACACCCAAGGUAGACCCCUAGGAAAAGCAGAGGGUCUUGACUUGGGAAAAUCAAGCCACGUGUCAGGAGUUCACCCCUGGAUAUCACCACCUCAUGUUUCCAGAGUCCCCAGUCACUUGCAAAGGACCUCACACAUGCCCCGGCUAGGAGACAAGGCUAAAGCCUGUGGAGUCAGAGGACGAGAGAGAGAGAGAGAGAGAGAGAGAAGGGGCAGGACAGAAGAGCCGCUGGACCCCAGAUUCACAGGGCACAAAUGCAUUCUCUAGGUGGUAACAUCAGAGCCACCACUUCUCAGUGUCAGUCCAUAUUUACUGAGUGCCGACUGCCCGGGACCCUGUGCCAGAGCUGCGCCCCAACCCCAUCCAUCCCGAGCUUCAUGAUAAUAACAUUAUUCUUUCCAACUUUGGGCUGAUCAGGGUUUAUAAGGGCUCCCACUUCACUUUUUACCAAAAGAAAAUAUCUUUCCUUUGCAAAAAAAAAAAAAAAA
rnacentral:lncRNA from 1 species